rnacentral:rRNA from 1 species
GACGGGGCCCGGCACAAGCGGUGGAGCAUGUGGUUAAUUCGAAGCAACGCGAAGAACCUUACCAGGCCUUGACAUGCAGAGAACUUUCCAGAGAUGGAUUGGUGCCUUCGGGAACGUCUGACACAGGUGCUGCAUGGCUGUCGUCAGCUCGUGUCGUGAGAUGUUGGGUUAAGUCCGUAACGAGCGCAACCCUUGUCCUUAGUUACCAGCACGUUAUGGUGGGCACUCUAAGGAGACUGCCGGUGACAAACCGGAGGAAGGUGGGGAGUGACGUCAAGUCAUCAUGGCCCUUACGGCCUGGGCUACACACGUGCUACAAUGGUCGGUACAAAGGGUUGCCAAGCCGCGAGGUGGAGCUAAUCCCAUAAAACCGAAUCGUAGUCCGGAUCGCAGUCUGCAACUCGACUGCGUGAAGUCGGAAUCGCUAGUAAUCGUGAAUCAGAAUGUCACGGUGAAUACGUUCCCGGGCCUU